rnacentral:rRNA from 1 species
GAGACACGAAUCCAGGCCCUACGGGGCGCAGCAGGCGCGAAAACUUUACAAUGCGGGAAACCGUGAUAAGGGAACCCCGAGUGCCCGUAAAUUCGGGCUGUUCACCAGUGUAAAUAGCUGGUGGAGAAAGGGCCGGGCAAGACCGGUGCCAGCCGCCGCGGUAAUACCGUCGGCUCGAGUGGUGGCCACUAUUACUGGGCUUAAAGCGUCCGUAGCUGGGUUGUUAAGUCUCUGGGGAAAUCUUCCGGCUUAACCGGAAGGCGUCUCAGGGAUACUGGCAAUCUAGGGAUCGGAAGAGGUGAGGGGUACUCCAGGGGUAGGAGUGAAAUCCUGUAAUCCUUGGGGGACCACCUGUGGCGAAGGCGCCUCACCAGGACGACUCCGACAGUGAGGGACGAAAGCUGGGGGAGCAAACCGGAUUAGAUACCCGGGUAGUCCCAGCUGUAAACGAUGCGCGUUAGGUGCAUCGGUGACCACGAGUUACCGAGGUGCCGAAGGGAAACCGUGAAACGCGCCGCCUGGGAAGUACGGUCGCAAGGCUGAAACUUAAAGGAAUUGGCGGGGGAGCACUACAACGGGUGGAGCCUGCGGUUUAAUCGGACUCAACGCCGGGAAGCUCACCGGAUAA